CCUCUGGCGCAGGCGCAGAGCUGCUCACUGCCACUUCCUCCUCCUAACUGAAUGCGUGCUGAGAGGUUGCUGGCCUUUCACACCGGAACCUGAUGGCUUCACGCCUCACGAAGGCCCACCACUUUGCUCUGCUCUUCCAUGGUACUUCCAACUCCCUUGAGGGACUUUAUUUCAUUAAAAAAACAAAAGUUUGAUUGCAUUCUUGAACUUGCACGCUAGUGGAAGGAGCUAAGUACAACUAAGCUUUUUCUCGCUGUGAACAGUGCGCUGGGUGAGAUGGACUCCCAUCAGAAAUAAGUGCCUUACCUUCUAAGACAAACUUGUAUUUGCUAGAGUAUGUCACAAACAAGUAUCACAGGGACUUUCCAGAAGCCGCCAGAAGACUGAGAUGAGUAAUUACCCCAUCCUUACUUCCAUUCUUUUGACUUCCAUGUGACUAGAGGUCUCAGCUUAGAGUUAGAAAGCCAACCCUCAAAACACUCUCCUGUUGUGACUCAGUAGAUGCCCCAGCACAAAAAGCCACUCAUGAGAGGAGAAUAUAGGGGAAAAAGAGAAUCAGAAACCUUGGAAGAACACGAUUCAAGUAUCCAGAGAGCAAGUAAUACCAACAACUUCAGGUGAAAGCGGCUGAAGGGAUUACAGCAGAGAUUCCACCAUGUCCAGCUGUAUGUAUACCUUCACUGAUGCCAGACAGCAGCUUCUCUCUAUUUCAUGUUUACUUUAGACCAACCUCAAAUUGUAGAAAGAAGCCAAUUCUGUAUUAUAGAAACUCCAUGCAGCAUUGGUAAAUGUUGGAGUAAAAUUUUGUCUUUAUAUUCCACCAUGAGAUUUGUGUUAGUAAUUCCACAGUUCUCAUUCUGAGAAAAAAUAAAGUCUUGAAUACA